AUGAAUGCUAAAUAUAAACUUGCUGAAGAUAAGGGUAGAAAACAUGUUGUGUUUGCACAUGGAGAUCUUGUUUGGUUACACUUGCGUAAGGAUAGAUUUCUUGAUUUGCGCAAAUCGAAGCUAAUGCCAUGUGCUAAUGGUCCUUUUAAGGUGUUAGAGAAAAUAAAUGAUAAUGCAUAUAAACUUGAGCUGCGUGAAGAUUUUGGGGUUAGUCCCACUUUUAACAUUGCGGAUUUGAAGCCUUACUUGGGUGAGGAAGAUGAGCUUCUGUCGAGGACGACUUCAUUUCAAGAAGGGGAGGAUGAUGAGGACAUCAAUACCAUUGUUACACCCACAGCCCCUGCUGCUAUACAUACUGGACCAAUUAGUAGAGCUCGCGCACGCCAGUUGAAUUAUCAGAUACUUUUGUUUCUUGGUAACGAUUCUAAUGUUCAUGAGAAUAUGAUGCUGCCUAAAUUGGAUACAUUUGUUUUGCUUACAAAUGAAGGGCCUAGCUUGGACAAGAAAGAUGAACCUUGGAGCAAGUUCAAGCAUGGGGAUGAUGGCAUGCGCCAGGGGAACAAGAAUGGAGUUUCAAGUGAUGAUUUCAGGAACUUGAAGCCACCAUAA
rnacentral:rRNA from 1 species